rnacentral:ncRNA from 1 species
AACGUCUUAGUUGGAGAUCAGGAUUUGGACAGGAGAUUCUUUAAAUUCACUUCAUUCAUUUGUCGAUUGCUACUAUAGCUUUAGCAGAUAGGGGGUAUACUCUUUUCACGCCACUAUGGCAGGACAAGGGUCAACAACUUGAGAACCCCGCUGGGCGUUUUAUAAAGAUGCGAUGAUCACCCUGGUAUCAAGGUAUUACACCCAGGUUGAACUAUUGCUCUCGUAUCAUACACCGUAUUUACAGCUUGAUAUACACACGGGUUUGCCAACACCAUCUAUGGUUUCUGAAGUUGAAUGUGUUGUGCUGCUUCACUAUGGGGGACAUUAAUAUUUAAUUGUCAGAGGUGAAAUUCUUGGAUUUAUGAAAGAUUAACUUCUGCGAAAGCAUUUGUCAAGGAUGUUUUCGUUAAUCAAGAACGAAAGUUAGGGGAUCGAAGACGAUCAGAUACCGUCGUAGUCUUAACCAUAAACUAUGCCGACUAGGGAUUGGUGGCAGUUAAUUAUAUGACUCCAUCAGCACUUU